GGACCAAUCAGUGUCGACUAUUCAUGAUAGUCCGCCAUAUUUUUGAGAUCAGUGAGGAUGACCACCCACCAACCACGGAACCACUCACCAGCCUCGUACCCAGGCGCAAAUAACGUACUAAAAAUUAGCAACACUACAGUGUUUUUAUAUAGAUCAGUGGCUAAGAGAGCGAGCGCGCGGGGGUGCUAGGUCAACACACGACGGGAUUCUGCUGCGCCUGGCAGAAAAUGUAAAUAUGAUUCUUCAGAAAUACGAUAUCUGAAGAAUCGAACCAUUCAGCUUUUUACUCGUGCCUUUUCAAUUAUUUUUGGCGUUUUUGGUGCUGAAUAUUAUAUUUAUAUGUGCUUAUGGGUGACCUGGAACAAUCGCUGAAGGAAUUAUCAAGAAAUGAGUGUUAGAGGUGAGUGUUUGUAUUGGUUUGCCUUGAGAUUUCAUUUUAAUAUUCUCUGUAUAUUAUGUGUGCAUCAUUGUAUAAAUCAUUAAAUCUUGGUCAAGAUGACUACAAGAAAUAGGACAGGUUUCAUAUUUUAAAAGAAUUUGUAAGCUGCCCACAAAGGGAGAAAGAAUAAUUUCAACCAGGGAUGCACCUUCAAUAAUUUAACACCAGAAUCAAAAGCCCAUGUCGAGUUCCAGCCAAAGAGAUUUGCUGAUCAAAUGUCUUUAUACUAUACAAUUCUAAAAGUUGUAAAUACUUAGUUUAUUUUCAGCAAACAAUCACUGAAUUGAUACAGAACCCAGUAGUGCUGUCACUACUAUGACUACUGCUUGAUACAUGUAUAUUAAAUUUGCCAUGAAGUGAUUUGAAUAUUUUUGUUUUUCAGUGUAUUGUGUGCAGUUUGACAUUUGUCACUGAUGUUCUUGAAUUCCAAAAGAUUUUCAACUACAUGUGAUAUGAAUAUAGAUAUAAUAUUAUAUUUGCAACCCAUGAAAUGUAUAUUUUCUCUGUAGCUGAUACAGUUCAACAUAGCACAAUUUGAUUGAGUAAAAGACUUUCUAAGGGUGCCUCUGGCAGCCACCUUAUGGAGGGUGAGUUAGAGGCUAAUCCCAAGCCACCCGUCAACAUUCCCUCUAUAGAAAACUGGAGUUCCCGGAGAAAACCCACAACUUUUGUCAGAGUGUUGACAGCAUGACUCUUUUCACACUUAAGUGUCGUUGAAGUGGUGAGAAUUGAACCAACAAUCUCAGAUGUAAAAAGUCCUCGCUCUGACAAUUGCACUACCAAAGUCGGUGGCACAAUCAGCACGCCACCAUAGCCCCAGUAGGGUGCAGUGGAACUUGAUGGGCUAAGCUGUUAAUUUGUGCCAAUGUACCUAGCUUGUUGAGAAGUUCAGCUGUGGGUGAGUGCAUGGGUCUAUAAAUAAAAACCCACAAGAGUAUUAAAUUUGCAUAAAUAUUGCUAGUUCUAGCUAGAUUCCUUUGAAUGUAAAUAGUAGUACUUUAUGUUAUGAGCAAAAUAAAUAAAAUUCUCAAGACUUUAAAUGUUACAGGGGUUGUUGUUUGCAUAGCAUGUUGAUGAGGUAUAUCUUAUUCAGUCAAGUUGUGUAAAACAUAUGCCCGUUCUAACUUGGCUGAACCAAUGACCAUAUACAGGAUUUAGGAACAAGCACAGAAACAACUGGGAUAGGUCUUGUUGUUGUCCAAGCACUUUACUGGGACCUACCCUGAGUGACCUGAAAUGGUUUCAGGUGAAGAAUUUGGGGUGGC